rnacentral:rRNA from 1 species
AAAUGACUCUCGGCAACGGAUAUCUCGGCUCUUGCAUCGAUGAAGAACGUAGCAAAAUGCGAUACGUGGUGUGAAUUGCAGAAUUCCGUGAACCAUCGAGUUUUUGAACGCAAGUUGCGCCCAAUGCCAUUCGGCCGAGGGCACGUCUGCCUGGGCGUCACGC